CGUUGAAACACCGAUUCCCGUACGAUUACUGAGGUUAAGCAACGCCGAGCUUGGUCACUACCUAGAUGGGUGACCGCUUAAGAAUACCCGGUGCUGUAAG